AUAUUUACCUGGCAGGGGAGACACCAUGAUCAGGCAGGUGGUUUUCCCAGGGCGAGGCUCAUCCUUGCACUCUGGGUGUGCUGACCUCUCUGAUUUCCCCAAAUGCGGGAAGCUUAACUGCAUAAUUUGUGGUAGUGGGGGACUGCGUUCUCAUUCUAUUUUUUUUUUUUUUGUCCCCCA
ensembl:snRNA U1 U1 spliceosomal RNA